ensembl:snRNA U6 U6 spliceosomal RNA
GUGCUCGCUUCGGCAGCACAUAUACUAAAAUUGGAACGAUACAGAGAAGAUUAGCAUGGCCCCUGCGCAAGGACACCUUAUCUUUGACAAAGGAGGCAAGAAUAU